rnacentral:rRNA from 1 species
AAUCAACGCUGGCGGCGUGCCUCAGACAUGCAAGUCGAACGCGAAAGCUCCCUUCGGGGAGCAAGUAGAGUGGCGCACGGGUGAGUAACACGUAGGUAAUCUACCCUUGGAUGGGGAAUAACAACCGGAAACGGUUGCUAAUACCGCAUAAUGCAGCGGCACCUAAUGGUGACAGUUGUUAAAGCGGGGGAUCGCAAGACCUCGCGUCUGAAGAGGAGCCUGCGGCAGAUUAGCUAGUUGGUAGGGUAACGGCUUACCAAGGCGAUGAUCUGUAGCCGGCCUGAGAGGGCGGUCGGCCACACUGACACUGACAUACGGGUCAGACUCCUACGGGAGGCAGCAGUCGGGAAUUUUGGGCAAUGGGCGAAAGCCUGACCCAGCAACGCCGCGUGAAGGAUGAAAUCCCUAGGGUUGUAAAGCUCUUUUACCCGGGAUGAUAAUGACAGUACCGGGAGAAUAAGCUCCGGCUAACUCCGUGCCAGCAGCCGCGGUAAUACGGAGGG